AUUGAAGAUCCAAAUGUUCUGAGGUCUUCCAUUUGUAGCCCAAACUAAUUUCAAUAUGAAGGAAACAUUAAGACUUUGACUCUAGGACAUAGAACUUUGUUCAACACAAGUGGGCAACUAGAAAGCAGUUAGUAGAGAAGAUUGGAUCAACAGCCACGCUUCAGGAUAUUUGUCAAAUAAAAGCUCUUUUUUUUUUUUCGUUUAUUAGGAAACAGUGAAAUUCAAUUUAGAAUCGCUGACAAUGUUUAGUUUAGCAUGAAAAUCUCAAUCUAAAAGAUUAUAAAGGACGUUCCUUGGUAAACAUAGUAUUUGAAGGUCUCAGACUGCACAUGUCAAAAGGAAGCAAGCUUUCACUUGAUGGCGGCUUGAAGAGGUCAUCAUCAGUGAGUCAUGUUCUUUUGUGAGUCAUGUUCUACAUAAAAACCUGCAAAGUCUCUUUCAGCCCAAACUUUUGAUUGGGAGGGGCGUGGGAAGGGGGCUAUUCCAAAUAGAUAAUAGAUCCUGAUUUGUUCUGAAAUCAACUGACAUGUUCAACAAUGUUAACAAUGUUCUACUAAAACUUUAAGCUACAAGCCCAAGAAAUUAGCUACCGCUUUUUUUUUUUACCACAAGUUUAAAGCAUUAUAAAAAAAAUACAUAGAUUAUCAGCAUAUUGAUCCAUCUGUACACAAGAUACACCAGAAAAGCCAGAUUUAUAUAGGUUCACUUCCAUUCUGGACAUCACAAUGAACUUAAAUCUCAUUUAUUUCUAGGUGAUAGAUAUCUGAGUUCAUUUAAGACAUAAACAAAAAUAGCUUGGAACCAUAGAAAUGGUUGAUAUUAUGCCAGGAGGUGUACACCAUUCAUCCAGGCUGGUGAGAGAGAGCUCUUGUUUGCAUUUGCUGGUCUUAGGGUUCCAAGUGCGAUGCACAACUCUACAUGACAAUUUCAAAUGAUAUUACAAACCUUCAUGAUGUUUUGUUACCAUACUAUUAAGAGCAACACGCUCUGGGACUAUGAAGUUUGAUGGUCAUAAGUGUCAUUGAAACAAUCUGAUUGAUAAAAGUAAUAAUGAAAGUAAUGUCAAUGGAAUACAAAUGUUUGAGGAAACAGAAGAUAAAACAAGGCACAUUUUAUCUUAACUCACUCUAUUGUUAUCAAUAAAUAUAGAGUUAAAAUAGCUUCCUAAAAUAUGACUAAAAAAUAAUUUUUUCUUCAUGAUGUAAAGACCAGUCUCCAUAAAAACAAAUAUAUACUACAAGGCCAUUUGUAUAGUUUUAAAAAAUCUUGAACUUUGAAAAAUUUGUGCAUUUCUUUCUUGCAUGUGGCAAUGAAGAAUUAUGGUAUGUUUAACUAAUGUCAAGAAUGAAAUGACAAGGCCAG